rnacentral:rRNA from 1 species
GACGAACGCUGGCGGCGUGCUUAACACAUGCAAGUCGAGCGGUAAGGCCCUUUCGGGGGUACACGAGCGGCGAACGGGUGAGUAACACGUGGGUGACCUGCCCUUAGCUCUGGGAUAAGCCUGGGAAACUGGGUCUAAUACCGGAUAUGACUCCAUGACGCAUGUUGUGGGGUGAAAGCCUUGUGCGGCUAGGGAUGGGCCCGCGGCCUAUCAGCUUGUUGAUGGGGUNAUGGCCUACCAAGGCGACGACGGGUAGCCGGCCUGAGAGGGCGACCGGCCACACUGGGACUGAGACACGGCCCAGACUCCUACGGGAGGCAGGCAGUGGGGAAUCUUGCGCAAUGGGCGAAAGCCUGACGCAGCGACGCCGCGUGGGGAUGACGGCCUCGGUUGUAACC